rnacentral:rRNA from 1 species
UACGUAGGGUCCGAGCGUUGUCCGGAAUUAUUGGGCGUAAAGAGCUCGUAGGCGGUCUGUUGCGUCGGCUGUGAAAACCCGGGGCUCAACUCCGGGCCUGCAGUCGAUACGGGCAGACUAGAGUUCGGUAGGGGAGACUGGAAUUCCUGGUGUAGCGGUGAAAUGCGCAGAUAUCAGGAGGAACACCGGUGGCGAAGGCGGCAUCCUGGACCAACACUGACGCUGAGUGAGCGAAAGCGUGGGGAGCGAACAGG